rnacentral:lncRNA from 1 species
CAUAGCAUAUGGAGUUCCUGGGCCAGGGAUCAGAUCCUAGCUGCAGUUGUGGCCCAGGCUGUGUCAACACUGGAUCCUUUAACCCACUGUGCCGGGCUGGGAAUGAACUCACAUCCUGGUGCUGCAGAGACGCUGCCAAUCCCACUGUGCCACAGUAGGAACUCCCCAAUGUAGACUUUUGAUUAUCAAUAAAGGUGAACAAGGACUUUAAGGUGGGCUAAAGAAUCUAGUGUGAGCAGCAGAACCAUAUGUGGUAAACAAACAUAAGAGCCAUUAAUAAAAUGAAAUUUAAAUUAAUAAAUACUUGAUCUCAGAUUAAACAAUAAUUUUAAUUUUCAUAUUUUAUAUUGCUAUAUGAAGAAAACACAACAAAUCUCAAAAUAUAGUCACUAGUUUUCCCAAUUUGAACUUUAAAAAUUCAAAUUUUAGGAGUUCCUGUCGUGGUGUAGAGGUUAAUGAAUCUGACUAGGAACCAUGAAGUUGCGGGUUCGAUCCCUGCCCUUACUCAGUCAUCUGUGAAUAAAAGUUUUACUUCUUCCUUUCUAUUCUAUAUGUCCUUUCAUAUCUUUUUUCUACUGCAUCAGCUAGGAUCUCCAGUACAAUACUAAAUAAAAGUGGUGAGAGCAAACAUCCUUGUCUUGUUCUUAAUCCUAACCAGAAAUGCAUAAAAUCAUUCACCAUGAGGUAUGAUUUUAGUUGUGUUUUCAUAAUAUUCUUUAUCAAGUUGAGGAAGUUUACUUCAAAUCCUAGUUUGUUGAGUUUUUAUUGUGUGAUUGCGCUGAAUUUUAUCAAGUACUUUUUUUAUAUCCAGUGAGAUGAUCAUACAAUUUUUUGACUUUAUUAGCAAUGUGAAUUACACUAAAUUUUUUUUUUGGUAAGUUAAACCUGGUUUUCAUUUCAGAAGAAAUCCUACAUGGCCAUGAUGUGUUAUCCUCUUCAUAUACUAUUUAGAUUUAAUAAACUGAUAUUUUGUUAGGCAUUUAGAUAGUGAUAUGCUAGAUCUCAUAUAAAAAUAUUUUGUCAGGGAUUUUUGUGUCUAUGUUCAUAAAGAAUAUUUGCUGGUAGUUUUCUUUCAUGUCUAUGUUCAUAAAGAAUAUUUGCUGCUAGUUUUCUUUUUCUUUUUUUUUUCUUUUUAUGGUCACACCUGUGGCACAUGGAUGUUCCCAGGCCAGGAGAUGAAUUGGAGCUGCAGCUGCAGGCUUAUGCCACAGCCAUAGCAACGUGGGAUCUGAGCCACAUCUGUGACUUAUGCUGUAGCUUAUGGCAAUACCAGAUCCUUAACCCACUGAGUCAGGCCAGGGAUCAAAUCCGCAUC